CCUACGGGUGGCAGCAGUGGGGGAUAUUGCACAAUGGGGGAAACCCUGAUGCAGCGACGCCGCGUGGGGGAAGAAGGGCCUCGGCGCGUAAAGCCCUGUCAGCAGGGAAGAAAAUGACGGUACCUGAAGAAGAAGCCACGGCUAACUACGUGCCAGCAGCCGCGGUAAUACGUAGGGGGCAAGCGUUAUCCGGAUUUACUGGGGGUAAAGGGGGCGCAGACGGCGAUGCAAGCUAGGCGUUAAAGCUCGGGGGCCAACCCCGGGACUGCGCUUGAAACUGCGUUGCUAGAGUGCAGGAGGGGCAGGCGGAAGUCGUGGUGUAGCGGUGAAAUGCGUAGAUAUCAGGAAGAACACCGGUGGCGAAGGCGGCCUGCUGGACUGCAACUGACGUUGAGGCCCGAAAGCGUGGGGAGCAAACAGGAUUAGAUACCCGGGUAGUC
rnacentral:rRNA from 1 species